rnacentral:ncRNA from 1 species
GCACAUGACUGAAUUUUCGGUCCGUUCAAUGGCAACAUUGAAAUGAAAAUUGGGUGAAUUCGGGGAAAUCCGGCUUAAUGCCGAGACAAUCCCGAGCCAAGAUCACUAGGGUUUAAGUUAGUGAUAAGGUGUAGAGACUAAUAAGUGAGUCCCAACAAUAAUCUUAUAAAAGCGCCCAACACCCUUUAGGGGUGAUGAGAUAGUCCACAUAAUUGGAAAAUCAUG